GACGAACGCUGGCGGCGUGCUUAACACAUGCAAGUCGAACGGAAAGGCCCUGCUCUUGUGGGGUGCUUGAGUGGCGAACGGGUGAGUAACACGUGAGUAACCUGCCCUUGACUUUGUGAUAACACCAGGAAACUCGGGAUCAUACCGGAUAGGAGCUCUUGAUGCAUGUGGGGGGUUGGAAAGUUUCGGCGGUGGGGGAUGGACUCGCGGGUUAUCCGCUUGUUGGUGUGGUAGUGGCUUACCAAGGCUUUGAGGGAUAGCCGGCCUGAGAGGGUGGCCGGGCACAAGAGGACUGAGAUAGGGCCCAGAAGCGUACGGGAGGCAGUAGUGGGGAGUAUUGCGGAGUGAGGGGGAGCGUGAUGCGGCAGCGCCGCGAGCGGGAUGAUGUCCUUCGGGUUGUGAACCGCUUUGGCCGGAGACGAAGCGUGAGUGACGGUAAUUGGUAAGGAAGCACCGGCUAACUACGUG
rnacentral:rRNA from 1 species